GAUGAAGAACGUAGCGAACGUGCGAAACGUAAUGUGAAUUGCAGAAUUCAGUGAAUCAUCGAAUCUUUGAACGCACAUUGCGCCCCUUGGUAUUCCGAGGGGCAUGUCUGUUCGAGCGUCAUUAUAACCCCUCAAGCUCAGCUUGGUGUUGGGGCCUGCUGCACUGGCAGCCCUUAAAAUCAGUGGCGGCGCCAUCUGGCUCUAAGCGUAGUAAUUCUUCUCGCUAUGGAGUCCUGGUGGAUGCUUGCCAUCAACCCCCAAUUUUUCUAUGGUUGACCUCGGAUCAGGUAGGGAUACCCGCUGAACUUAAGCAUAUCAAUAAGCGGAGGA
rnacentral:misc_RNA from 1 species